rnacentral:lncRNA from 10 species
GCAGCCAAGGGUCACAGGAGAAACCCCACCGUCAAGCCUAAAACAGCUUGAAGGCUGAAAAACCAGACUGCCGGUCCCAGAUAAAGCCCACCUUUUCCCGACUGAUUCUUUCUGAAUAAUGCCCACCUGCGCACUGGCGGGGACAGGCUGGAGCCUCUUGAAGUUUGCGCCCUUUGCAGUGGGGAGGAGCCUGGCCUCUCUAGUUCCUGUGUGGUAACCCGGGAUUCAAUCUGUGAGGCGGGAAACCUGCCAGCAGGACUCUCGCUUUUCUGUGGGUUCCUGUUUCCCUUUUUUAUUUUUUUCCUUUUCACCCAAUAAAUUCCAUUCCCCCUCACUCGUCAAAGUGUCUGUGUGCCUAACUUUUACUGGUUGUACGACAAGAACCCAGUUUUUUUCUACAACAUUUUUGGCGUCCGGAUGUGGGGCUUGAAGAAGGUUCAGUCAACCUAAAUCUUCAAAGAACUUGAGAAAACUGAAGACCUAGAAAUGGAUCAGGCCUUGAGACUCUGAAGGAAUUCGCAAGUAUUCAAAAAAGUUUGCUGUGGACCAAACUGUGUGCUUUCCAAAAUUCAUAUGUUGAAGCCCUAAUCCCCAAUGUAAUCAUAUUAGGAGAUGGUGUCUUUGGGAGGUAAUUAGGUUUAGAUGAGGUCAUGAAGGUGGAGCCCUCAUAAUGAGAUUAAUGCCCCUUAUAGAAGAAGAAAUGAGAGAGAGAGAGAUCUGAGCCUGCACAGAGAAGAGGCCAUGCAAGCCUACGGCCAAAUGGCAGCUGCCUACAAGCUAAGAGAAGAGGCCUCAGAAUGAAACCUACCUUGCUGGCAUCUUGAUCUUGGACUUUCCAGCCUCAGGACUGUAAAAAAUAAAUUUCUAUUGUUUAAGCCAAUCAGUCUAAUUAACCUGGUUUAUAUAUAAAAUAAUGGAUGUGAUGAAGAACAUAGAGAAGAUCAGAAGUAGCCAACGAAUAAAACAUUAGCUUGAGAGGCUGGGCGCCACAGCUCAUACCUGUAAUCCCAGCACGUUGGGAGGCUGAGGCAAGCGGAUCACAUGAGACCAGGAGUUGGAGACCUGCCUGGCCAACAUGGUGAAACCCCAUCUGUAUUGAAAAUACAAAAAAAUAGCCAGGCGUUGUAGCGCACACCUGUAAUUUCAGCUUUUUGGGAGGCUGAGGCACUAGAAUUGCUUGAACCCCGGUGGGGCAGAGGUUGCAGUGAGCCAAGUUCACGCCACUGCACUCCAGCCUAAGAAACAGAGCAAGACUCUGUCUCAAAAAAACAAAAACAAAAAACAACCUGAGAA